rnacentral:rRNA from 1 species
GACGAACGCUGGCGGCGUGCUUAACACAUGCAAGUCGAACGAUGAACCCGGAGCUUGCUCCGGCGGAUUAGUGGCGAACGGGUGAGUAACACGUGAGUAACCUGCCCUUGACUCUGGGAUAACUGCUAGAAAUGGUAGCUAAUACCGGAUACGACCCUCGGUGGCAUCAACAGGGGGUGGAAAGAAUUUCGGUCAAGGAUGGACUCGCGGCCUAUCAGCUAGUUGGCGAGGUAACGGCUCACCUAGGCGACGACGGGUAGCCGGCCGGAGAGGGUGACCGGCCACACUGGGACUGAGACACGGCCCAGACUCCUACGGGAGGCAGCAGUGGGGAAUAUUGCACAAUGGGCGCAAGCCUGAUGCAGCAACGCCGCGUGAGGGAUGACGGCCUUCGGGUUGUAAACCUCUUUUAGUAGGGAAGAAGCGAAAGUGACGGUACCUGCAGAAAAAGCACCGGCUAACUACGUGCCAGCCGCCGCAGUAA